CCCGCACAAGCGGUGAGUAUGUGGUUUAAUUCGACGCAACGCGCAGAACCUUUACCUGGUCUUGACAUCCCGGGAAUCUUUCUGAAAGGAGAGAGUGCCUCGCAAGAGGAGCCUGGAGACAGGUGCUGCAUGGCUGUCGUCAGCUCGUGUCGUGAGAUGUUGGGUUAAGUCCCGCAACGAGCCGCAACCCCUAUCUUUAGUUGCCAUCAUUAAGUUGGGCACUCUAAAGAGACUGCCGGUGUCAAACCGGAGGAAGGUGGGGAUGACGUCAAGUCCUCAUGGCCUUUAUGACCAGGGCUACACACGUACUACAAUGGCCGGUACAAAGGGCAGCGACACAGCGAUGUGAAGCCAAUCCCGAAAAGCCGGUCUCAGUCCGGAUUGGAGUCUGCAACUCGACUCCAUGAAGUUGGAAUCGCUAGUAAUCGUGGAUCAGCACGCCACGGUGAAUACGUUCCCGGGCCUU
rnacentral:rRNA from 1 species